rnacentral:rRNA from 1 species
GAUGAACGCUGGCGGCGUGCCUAAUACAUGCCAGUCGAGCGAACGGACGAGAAGCUUGCUUCUCUGAUGUUAGCGGCGGACGGGUGAGUAACACGUGGAUAACCUACCUAUAAGACUGGGAUAACUUCGGGAAACCGGAGCUAAUACCGGAUGAUAUUUUGAACCGCAUGGUUCAAAAGUGAAAGACGGUCUUGCUGUCACUUAUAGAUGGAUCCGCGCUGCAUUAGCUAGUUGGUAAGGUAAUGGCUUACCAAGGCAACGAUGCAUAGCCGACCUGAGAGGGUGGUCGGCCACACUGGAACUGAGACACGGUCCAGACUCCUACGGGAGGCAGCAGUAGGGAAUCUUCCGCAAUGGGCGAAAGCCUGACGGAGCAACGCCGCGUGAGUGAUGAAGGUCUUCGGAUCGUAAAACUCUGUUAUUAGGGAAGAACAUAUGUGUAAGUAACUGUGCACAUCUUGACGGUACCUAAUCAGAAAGCCACGGCUAACUACGUG